ACUCAAAUGAAUUGACGGGGAUCCGCACAAGCAGUGGAUUAUGCGGUUUAAUUCGAUGCAACGCGAAGAACCUUACCAGGGAUUGACAUGCCGAGAAUCCUUCAGAGAUGGGGGAGUGCCUGAAAAGGAGCUCGGACACAGGUGGUGCAUGGCUGUCGUCAGCUCGUACCGUAAGGCGUAGAGUUAAGUCUCGCAACGAGCGCAACCCUCGUCUCUAGUUGCCACUUGGGACUCUAGAGAGACUGCCGGUGCAAGCCGGAGGAAGGAGAGGAUGACGUCAAGUCAGCAUGCCCCUUACAUCCUGGGCUACACGCGUAAUACAAUGGUCGAGACAAUCGGAAGCGACCUCGCGAGAGCAAGCGAAUCUGCCAAACUCGACCUCAGUUCGGAUUGUAGGCUGCAACUCGCCUACAUGAAGCCGGAAUUGCUAGUAAUCGCCAGUCAGCUAUAUGGCGGUGAAUACGUUCCCGGAUCUUGUACACACCGCCCGU
rnacentral:rRNA from 1 species